AUCUAUGGCCAUGCCACCCUGAACAAGCCCGAUCCCAUCUAAUCUCGGAAGCUAAGCAGGGUCAGACCUGGUUAGUACUUGGAUGGGAGACCACCUAGGAAGACCAGGUGCUGUAGGCA
rnacentral:rRNA from 1 species